AUAGAGAACUCCUAGGGUUCCGCGUUUGGCAUGAAAGAUGACAAACGGACCGGUCCGAGAGGAGUUCGCGCCGAAGCCGGCGUCACACGGAGGGAUAAAAGCCCGGGAGGU
rfam:Kyrpidia tusciae DSM 2912, complete genome.